UACAGAGGGUGCGAGCGUUGUCCGGAAUCACUGGGCGUAAAGGGCGCGUAGGCGGCUCAGUAAGGUUGCGGUGAAAGCCCGGGGCUCAACCCCGGGUCGGCCGUGGCAACUGCUGGGCUAGAGCACUGUAGAGGCAGGUGGAAUUCCGGGUGUAGCGGUGAAAUGCGCAGAUAUCGGGAGGAACACCUAUGGCGAAGGCAGCUCGCUGGGACGUUACUGACGCUGAGACGCGAAAGCGUGGGGAGCAAACAGG
rnacentral:rRNA from 1 species